rnacentral:rRNA from 1 species
CCUACGGGUGGCAGCAGUGGGGAAUAUUGGGCAAUGGAGGCAACUCUGACCCAGCAACGCCGCGUGAGUGAUGAAGGUCUUCGGAUUGUAAAGUUCUGUGGUGGGGGAUGAAAACAAUGAUGGUACACCAAGAACAAGCCACGGCUAACUACGUGCCAGCCGCCGCGGUAAUACGUGGGGGGCAAGCGUUAUCCGGAAUUACUGGGCGUAAAGGGUGCGUAGGUGGUUUAGUAAGUUGGCGGUGUAAUGCCGGGGCUCAACCUCGGCGCUACAGCCAAAACUAUUAGACUAGAGUGCAGGAGGGGUAAGUGGAAUUCCUAGUGGAGCGGUGGAAUGCGUAGAUAUUAGGAGGAACAUCAGGGGCGAAGGCGACUUACUGGACUGUAACUGACACUGAGGCACGAAAGCGUGGGGAGCAAACAGGAUUAGAUACCCGGGUAGUC